rnacentral:rRNA from 1 species
UACGUAGGAUGCAAGCGUUAUCCGGAAUGAUUGGGCGUAAAGCGUCCGCAGGUGGCUGUGUAAGUCUGCUGUCAAAGAGCAAAGCUCAACUUUGUAAAGGCAGUGGAAACUACACGGCUAGAGUGCGUUCGGGGCAGAGGGAAUUCCUGGUGUAGCGGUGAAAUGCGUAGAGAUCAGGAAGAACACCGGUGGCGAAGGCGCUCUGCUAGGCCGCAACUGACACUGAGGGACGAAAGCUAGGGGAGCGAAUGGG